UACGUAGGGUGCAAGCGUUAAUCGGAAUUACUGGGCGUAAAGCGUGCGCAGGCGGGUUUGUAAGACAGGCGUGAAAUCCCCGGGCUCAACCUGGGAAUUGCGCUUGUGACUGCAAAGCUGGAGUGCGGCAGAGGGGGAUGGAAUUCCGCGUGUAGCAGUGAAAUGCGUAGAUAUGCGGAGGAACACCGAUGGCGAAGGAAAUCCCCUGGGCCUGCACUGACGCUCAUGCACGAAAGCGUGGGGAGCAAACAGG
rnacentral:rRNA from 1 species